rnacentral:rRNA from 1 species
AUUGAACGCUGGCGGCAGGCUUAACACAUGCAAGUCGAACGAGUGGCGGACGGGUGAGUAAUGUCUGGGAAUCUACCUUAUGGAGGGGGAUAACUACGGGAAACUGUAGCUAAUACCGCGUACCAUAGGAUGAGCCCAAGGGGGAUUAGGUAGUUGGUGGGGUAAAGGCUCACCAGGCCGACGAUCCCUAGCUGGUCUGAGAGGAUGACAAGCCACACUGGAACUGAGACACGGCCCAGACGCCGACGGGAGGCAGCAGUGGGGAAGAUGUCACAAGGGGUGCAACCCUGAUGCAGCCAUGCCGCGGGAAUGAAGAAGGCCUUCGGGUUGUAAAGUUCUGUCGGUAGCGAGGCGUUACCCGAAGAAGAAGCACCGGCUAACUCCGUGCCAGCAGCCGCGGUAAUAC